rnacentral:rRNA from 1 species
UCUAAAGUGAAAGAUGGUUUUGCUAUCACUUAUAGAUGGACCCGCGCCGUAUUAGCUAGUUGGUAAGGUAACGGCUUACCAAGGCAACGAUACGCAGCCGACCUGAGAGGGUGAGCGCCGACACUGGAACUGAGACACGGUCCAGACUCCUACGGGAGGCAGCAGUAGGGAAUCUUCCGCAAUGGGCGAAAGCCUGACGGAGCAACGCCGCGUGAGUGAUGAAGGGUUUCGGCUCGUAAAACUCUGUUAUGAGGGAAGAACAAACGUGUAAGUAACUGUGCACGUCUUGACGGUACCUAAUCAGAAAGCCACGGCUAACUACGUGCCAGCAGCCGCGGUAAUACGUAGGUGGCAAGCGUUAUCCGGAAUUAUUGGGCGUAAAGCGCGCGUAGGCGGUUUCUUAAGUCUGAUGUGAAAGCCCACGGCUCAACCGUGGAGGGUCAUUGGAAACUGGGAAACUUGAGUGCAGAAGAGGAAAGUGGAAUUCCAUGUGUAGCGGGUGAAAUGCGCAGGAGAUAUG